rnacentral:rRNA from 1 species
UGGGGAAUUUUGGACAAUGGGCGCAAGCCUGAUCCAGCAAUGCCGCGUGCAGGAUGAAGGCCUUCGGGUUGUAAACUGCUUUUGUACGGAACGAAAAGCCUCUCUCUAAUACAGGGGGGUGAUGACGGUACCGUAAGAAUAAGCACCGGCUAACUACGUGCCAGCAGCCGCGGUAAUACGUAGGGUGCAAGCGUUAAUCGGAAUUACUGGGCGUAAAGCGUGCGCAGGCGGUUUUGUAAGACAGUGGUGAAAUCCCCGGGCUCAACCUGGGAACUGCCAUUGUGACUGCAAGGCUGGAGUGCGGCAGAGGGGGAUGGAAUUCCGCGUGUAGCAGUGAAAUGCGUAGAUAUGCGGAGGAACACCGAUGGCGAAGGCAAUCCCCUGGGCCUGCACUGACGCUCAUGCACGAAAGCGUGGGGAGCAAACAGGAUUAGAUACCCUGGUAGUCCACGCCCUAAACGAUGUCAACUGGUUGUUGGGGAUUUAUUUCUUCAGUAACGAAGCUAACGCGUGAAGUUGACCGCCUGGGGGAGUACGGCCGCAAGGUUAAAAACUC